rnacentral:rRNA from 1 species
UACGAAGGGGGCUAGCGUUGCUCGGAAUCACUGGGCGUAAAGCGCACGUAGGCGGCUUUCUAAGUCAGGGGUGAAAUCCUGGAGCUCAACUCCAGAACUGCCUUUGAUACUGGAGAGCUCGAGUCCGGGAGAGGUGAGUGGAACUGCGAGUGUAGAGGUGAAAUUCGUAGAUAUUCGCAAGAACACCAGUGGCGAAGGCGGCUCACUGGCCCGGUACUGACGCUGAGGUGCGAAAGCGUGGGGAGCAAACAGGG